CGAACGCUGGCGGCGUGCUUAACACAUGCAAGUCACGGGGGCCCGCAGGGGUAACCGGCGAACGGGUGCGUAACACGUGAGCAAGCUUCCGAUUUGUGGGGGAUAGCCGGCCCAACGGCCGGGUAAUACCGCACACGUUCAUCGAGCGGCAUCGCUUGGUGAGGAAACCUCCGGGGCAAAUCGAGGUGCUCGCGGCCUAUCAGCUAGUUGGUGAGGUAACGGCUCACCAAGGCGACGACG
rnacentral:rRNA from 1 species